rnacentral:rRNA from 1 species
GGGCCCGCACAAGCAGUGGAGUAUGUGGUUUAAUUCGAAGCAACGCGAAGAACCUUACCAGGUCUUGACAUCGGAUGCAUAGCCUAGAGAUAGGCGAAGUCUUCGGACAUCCAGACAGGUGGUGCAUGGUUGUCGUCAGCUCGUGUCGUGAGAUGUUGGGUUAAGUCCCGCAACGAGCGCAACCCUUACUGAUAGUUACUACGCAAGAGGACUCUAUCGGGACUGCCGUUGACAAAACGGAGGAAGGCGGGGAUGACGUCAAAUCAUCAUGCCCUUUAUGACCUGGGCUACACACGUACUACAAUGGCCGUUAACAAUAGGGACCGAUGAGGCGACUCGGAGGAAAUCCAUUAAAAACGGUCUCAGUUCGGAUUGCAGGCUGAAACCCGCCUGCAUGAAGUCGGAAUUGCUAGUAAAUCGCGGAUCAGCAUGCCG